CUUUGGGCACAGCACAACACAACCAAGUGAGCACUGGAAACCUGGUCAUAGGAAAUGAAACAGACUGCUGUUUUCAUGAGUGACCUGUUCUCGAGCCUAAGAAUCUCUUGGGCCACCCAGCCCCACAGAGGCCAGUAGGAGGUCAACUCUCCACCUCCCUAAAAAAAAAAGGAGAAGGGAGAUGAAAUAAUACCAGCAUCCUGAACCUGAAUGUCCAGCUUCGCCUUGUUCUUUGUGGAUUAUAAGACCAUUGAUUAAAUAAAUCCUUUCAUCAAAAUUAUCUUAAAAAAGAAACUACCAUCUAAAUCCAGUUAUUCCAUCUGACUUGGUAGCAGUGAUGUUUGGAGUUUAGGACCUAAAGGUGAAAUGGGGAAAAUCUGGGUGCUCGGAAAGACACCAGAAGCACACAGAAGAAGAUCAUAUGAAGACACAACAAGAAGGUGACUAGCUGCAAGCCAAGAAGAGAAGCCUCAGAAGAAAUCAAACGUACUAGCACCUUGAUCUUGGAAUUCCAGUCUCCAAAGCUGCGAGAAAAUAAAAUUCUGUUGCUUAAGCUGCCAAGACUAUGGUAUUUUCUUAUGGCAAUCUUAGCAAAAUAACCCUAUUAGCAAACAAAUGCAUACAAAAUCUCUGUAAAUACAGCAGGUUUCCUUUUUAAAAAAACUCUUUAUUUUGAAAAAUUAUAGUUCUACAACAAAUAAUAAAAAAGAUAUACAGGAUGGUCCUAUUUACUCUUGACUCAGUUUCCCUUAUAGUAACAUCUUAUAUAACUACUAGGAAAAUGAUGUUGAUACAUUCCACAUAUCUUGUUAAAAUUUAACCAGUUUUACAUGUAUUAGUUUGUUCUAUGCAAUUUUCUUGCAUGUGUAGACCCAUGUUACCACUACCAUAGAGAAAAUCCAGAAUCAUUCCAUCACCAGAGGCUCCUUCAUGCUGUCUCUUUAUACUCAUUCUUACCUCUUUCUCUAGCUCAUCCCUAACCCCUCACAACCAUUAAUCUGUUCUCCAUCUCUACAACCCUGUUAUUUCAAGAAUGCCAUAUAAUGAGAAUCAAAAUUAAGUGAACUUUUGGGACUAUUUUCACUCAGAAUAAUUCUCUUGAAAUUCAGCCAAGUUAUUGUGUGCAACAAUAACUCAUUCCUUCUUAUUGCGGAGUAGUAGUCCAUGAUAUGGAUGCACUACAGGUUCCUUAACCACUUACUAGGAUAUUACAGUUGUUUACAGUUUGAAGCUAUUAUGACUAAAGCUGACGCUCACAUUUAUAUAUAAGUUUUUAUACAGAAAUAUGUCUCCAUUUCUCUGGAAAAAAAAUCCCAAGGGUACAAUUGCCGAGUCAAAUGUUAAGUGAAUGUUUACUUUAAAAGUGUUAUAUUGUUUUUUAGAGUGGGUGUACCAUUUUACAUUACCAUCAGCAAUGUAUAAGAGGUCCUGUUUCUCAGUAUCAGGCAAUAGAUAAUGUAUGUGCCAUGUAUACGUUUCCAGAACAUGAAAGUAUAGGAAUCUUCUUUUAUUUUAUUAUGUUAGCAUACCCUUCACACUCAAACCUAGCUGUGUGCUGAAAAGGUGAUUCUCUGGAAUUUAAGGAACUUAAAACCCCUGAUUUAUAGCAACUGCAUAUUUUCCAGUUGUGGCUAUUUCCCACCGUGGUUUUCAAACUACCCACAUGACUUAAUUGAAAGUGAAUUAAGGAAAAAAAUACUCACAAGUAGUUCUCACACAGUUCUCACUGGCACAAGCCAGUUCCAGCACACUGCUGCACAUACACAAACAUAUGCACACAUGCAUACACACAUAUAUACACACAUGCAUAUUCACAGACACAUAAAAACACAGAUGCAUAGAGACACCAGAUUUAUCUCCUUCAUUCGUACAGAUGGACCAUUAAAUAAGAUGACAAGAUGAAUUUAAUAGCAUGACAUAAUCAAAUAUAGAGACAGAUAUAAAAUACAUAGAGUAUGAAACUAUGAAACAAUUUUGGAAAUAAAAGUGUAUAUUAAUGUGCAAAUAUAUGUAUAGAAUAUGAGACUGAAAACACCAAAAUGUUGAUACUGUUUAUUUCUGGGUAGUUGGAUGACAAGUGAAUUUAGUUUUUCUGAUUGUGCUUUUCUUUAUCUUUAAGGAACAUGUUUUCUUUUAAUCAGAAAGAAAUAAUUACAUAUAUAUGUAAUUAACAUAUAUUGUAUAAUAUAUAUCACAUAUAUUCCACAUAUAUGGAAUAUAUAUUGUGUUUUAAAGUUUAAAAUGUGAGGAGACCACGUCAAUGAGGAACUUGGAACCAAGUAAAACAUGGAUGGAUAUGUGACAAUAUUGUGGAAUAGAGUGAAAAUUCAGCUCAGAAAUAGUGAAGCUUAUUUUAAAUGGAAACUAAAAUAAGAUCAUGUGGAUUAAAUUAGAGAUAUUUCCAGGAGAAGAUAUGUUUGAGCAUAACUUUCCUCUCCUCCCUAUCUGAGGAAAAUUCUGGAAGAGACUUCAUACGUAUCUAUAUUUGUAUCUAUGUCAGAAAAGGAGAGAAGUAAGGCCUGGGAGGCAGCUUGCUGUUGUGAAAGGAAAAUGAAGUCAGAUGAUCCUUAAUUUGGAUACUCUUUCUUACCAUUUGGGGCAAGUUACUUCCUCAAAGCCUCAAUUUCUUCUUCUCUAGCAUGAGAUUAAUAUUUGUGAUUCAUCAGAAGGUUAAACAAAGCAAUUUUUACAAAGUAAAAAGCAAAUUUUACAAAGAAGGCUUUCAUUUUGUUCUGUCCUAUUUUAUUCUAAAUUAUGGUAUGUUACCCAAAUCCCAGUGGGAGCUUUUGUGAGUGAAUGACAUUAAAAAAUUACUGGAACAGGAAAUAUUUCCCUUUAAUGAACUAGAUGAGAUUUUUUAAAAAAAAACCACUAAUUAUGUAUUUUACAUUAUGGAAACAGAGAUUAUAUAAUGAUAAAAAGAUGUGUAUUAUAUUUUAAAAAAUAGUUACAAAAAGUAAAUCUUUUGUUUUCAUGUGAUCCAUUCAUUUGUCCAUUAUUCAACAGAUAUUUAUACAAUACUAAUUCAGUGAAAACCAGCAUUAGCUUAGGAGAAAGUAUUAGGAAGUACAAGAUUAAUGACAUCUGGGACCAAGAAAUUUUCAGUAAAAUCAAUGAAUGGCAUUUUGCUUAUUUCGGAACAGCAAAAUAGAAAUAGUCAAUACUAUAGUCUCUGCAUCUAGUCCUUCUGUGUGAAUAUGUAUCUAGAGGCUUAUGCAAAAUAAUGCCUAAGGUUAGGACAAGCACUUUUAUUCAGCUGAUAAUAAAAUAUAUAAAGUGUACAAUGAAUAUCCAAAUGUAUAAUAAUCUAAUCCAGAAUUACUCAAUCUAUGAAUUAUUAAGAUAUGGUAAGGACAAGAUUAAAACUAUGUUUUUCUGCCUGGCUGUCUUUAAACUAUUGUUACAUGGCAACCCUUUAACAACCCAGUAGUUAGCCAUGAUCAUUGUAUUAGGCUGCUUGGGUUGCUGUAACAAAAUGUUAAUACCAUAGACUGGGUGGCUUAAAUAACAGACCUUUAUUUCUCACAGUUCUGGAGGUUGGGAAGUCCAAGAUCAAGGUGCUGGCCAAUUCUGUUCCUGCCUCUCUUUUCUGGCUUAUAUAUUUCUGCCUUUUUGCCGUGUCCUUGCAAGGCAGAGAAAUAUCUUCUCCUACUCCAAUUCUUCCUUCUACUCCUUCUUUUUCUUCAUAAGCCACUAAUCCUAUCAUGACAGCCCUAUUCUCAUUACCUCAUUCAACCUUAAUUAUCUCCCAAAGGGCCCACAUCCAAAUACCGUCAUAUUGAGGGUUAAGGCUUCAACAUCUGAGUUUUGGGGGAGACACAAUUUGGUCCAGAGCAACCAUCAUUUUGCUAAUGCCAUCUGGCUUGUGAAAUAUUAAUAGCAAGUCUAAGACUUUUCUCAAUAUUCAAAGAGGAAGGCUCAAAGAGAUUUUGAUAGUUUUUGGUUGUUUGUGAAUAUAUACAAGCUGAAUAGAAGUUUCAGUGUAAGGAUGGUAUCACACCCUUUCUCACCACCUACUCCCAAAUUUUGAAAGCCAUUACUUGAGAAAUAGACAUCCUCUUGGUGUUGUCAAUGUUCCUGAAUACACAAUAAUUGUUAAUACAUUUUGCAAAGAGAAUAUGCACCGUUGAAAGGGAAUAUUACUUAUUCAUUCAUUCAAAAAAUUAUUGAGCGCUGCUAUUUUCCAAGCACUUUUCUGAAUGCUAAGAAUAUAGGAAUAAUCAAAAGAGAAAAAGUCUCUUCUCUCAAAGAGCAUAUUGCCUUGUGUUGGAGGCAAACCAUAAUUAAACAGACAAGUGAAUAUCUAGUUUGUCAGAUAAUGAUUAGUCCUAUGGAGAAGUAUAAAGCAGGAUACAGGAAAUGGGGAGGGCUGGUAGGUGGGGAGAAGAGUGGUUAUUUUAUGUAGGUAAACAGGGAACCUGAAGUAAAUAAGGGAGUGAGCCAUGCUGAUGUCAGGAGAAAAGUUUCAGAAGGUGAGGAGAACAAAUGCAGAGGCCACAAGGUGAGAGAAUGCUUAGGUGUAUGAAAGACAGCAAGGAGCCCAGUGUAUAUAGACCAACUGAACCAGAGGAAGAAUCAUAGGAGGUGAGAACGGUAAUGUAGGGGAAGAUUACGCUAAACCCUGUAUGUUAUUGUAAGAAUUUUAGCUUUUGCUGGGAGUGAGAUAGGCUACUGAAGGUUUAUGAGCAGAGGAAUCUUAUCAGAUUUAGGUUUUAAAAGUGAAAUGUGUUGGUUGUAGAAACAGCUGACUUUAGAUGGAUAAGGCAGAAAAAGUGAGAUUAAUUGCAAGAUCGUUGCAAUAAUCUAGGAGUUAAAUGGAGGUUGAAUGAAUAAGGGAGAAUGGAAGGGUGAGUGAGAAGGAAUCAGGUUUUAGAUACAUUUAGAAGAAAGAGCUAGAGCCAGCUGACAGCAUUUGCUAAUGGAUUGCAUAUGAAAGAAAGAAGUCAAGGAUAAUCCAAGUUAUUUGGUAUGAACAACGGAGAAACGAAGUUGCCAUUUGUAAAAUAAGUAAGGCUGAGGAAGGAGCAGGUUUGGGGAAAAUGGGAAAUUGAAGUCAAUUCCAGAUCAGUUAUGUUUGAGAAGCCAAUUAGAUACACACAAGGAAAUUCUGAGGAAGGAGUUAGUAUUAUUAAUUUCACUUUAGGAGAGAGAUAUGGGAUUGAGUUUGACGGUGAGUAGUUGUCACUUACAGAUGAUACAUCAAAUCACGUGACAGGAUGAGAUCCUAGAAAGUGAAUGCAAUUACAAAAGGAAUGAGGUCCGAGAAAACCUACUUGGGGCAUUCUAAAGUCAGUGGUCUGAGCGGUCAGAAGGAAUUUACAAAGGAACUGAGAAGAAGAGCCAAUGAGAAAGGGAACUUCUUUUUUUUCACAGUGAGUGCUUGUGAACUUUAAAGGAAUGUGUGAUGAGGAGACUUUUUUUUUAAAUAACUGGAAUUAUAUCUUUCUUUUCUAAUGGUCUAGUAGGAAAAACUGUUUCCUUUAGGGGAGAGGGCAAUUGCUGGAGUAAUAUCCUUAAGUAAUAUCACAAUUUAUUUAUAGUAACAGGAGAGAAUGUCAGGUAUUCAGGUGCAUAGGCAGAUAGAUUGGUACAUGUGGUUGUGGGAGCAUGAGGAACUUCUCUCUUCUUUCUUUUUAAUUCUCACUGACGCAGGAAGUAGACUCCUUGCUGGCAUGACUAUGAAGGCAGAAGAUUAAAGGUUUUUUUCUUUUUUUAAUUUAAAAUUUUUAAUUUUUGUGAGUACAUGGAAGAUUAAAAUUUGAAGAAGACAGCUUAGAAAUCUGGGAAAAUAGACCAUCCUGGCUAACACAGUGAAACCCCUUCUGUACUAAAAAUGCAAACAAUUAGCUGGGUGUGGUGGCGGGCGCCUGUAGUCG
rnacentral:lncRNA from 1 species